rnacentral:lncRNA from 1 species
AUAAUAAAUUGACGAACAUUAUUUUUAACUAUGACUUUUUAAACUAACACUUCCAUAUUGUCAGCUGAUGCACAUCAUGACACAUACGUGUUGCAUGCUACUGAAACUCAGAAGGGAGGAUUAUUUUGUGAUACACAACAUGCACAUAAUAUAAACUAUAUUUUUUUUUUUGCGAGCAAACUAUAUAUAUCUGAUCUGAUUGGGCGAAAGUUCCAUGAUUGUUGUAAUUGCAACUAAUAAGCUUCUAUGAACCUGACCGCAAGAAGAGUCUUGACCAUUUGGUGCUGGUUCAUUUAUUAGUUUCUCGUCCUGAGUUUGCCAGCCGGAAAAAAAAACAAAACAAAAUUCAUGCCUGGAGAUACCAAAAAACUAGCAAGAAUCACCUGUACAAAUGAGAAAUCGCGACAUAUUCUAGGCGAGGUCCUCAUGGUCAAUGUACCAAGUUUUUUUUAGUUCAAAUGUGAAUUCUAUAUGGCAAAC